rnacentral:misc_RNA from 1 species
GAUGAAGAACGCAGCGAAAUGCGAUACGUAAUGUGAAUUGCAAAUUCAGUGAAUCAUCGAGUCUUUGAACGCACAUUGCGCCCCCUGGUAUUCCGGGGGGCAUGCCUGUCCGAGCGUCAUUGCUGCCCUCAAGCACGGCUUGUGUGUUGGGCCCCGUCCUCCGAUUCCGGGGGACGGGCCCGAAAGGCAGCGGCGGCACCGCGUCCGGUCCUCGAGCGUAUGGGGCUUUGUCACCCGCUCUGUAGGCCCGGCCGGCGCUUGCCGAUCAACCCAAAUUUUUAUCCAGGUUGACCUCGGAUCAGGUAGGGAUACCCGCUGAACUUAAGCAUAUCAAAAGCGGAGGA